GAUGAACGCUGGCGGCGUGCUUAACACAUGCAAGUCGAGCGAAGCGAUUUUAAGGAAGCCUUCGGGUGGAAUUAAAAUUGACUUAGCGGCGGACGGGUGAGUAACGCGUGGGUAACCUGCCUCAUACAGGGGGAUAACAGUUAGAAAUGACUGCUAAUACCGCAUAAGCGCACAGUGCUGCAUAGCACAGUGUGAAAAACUCCGGUGGUAUGAGAUGGACCCGCGUCUGAUUAGGUAGUUGGUGAGGUAACGGCCCACCAAGCCGACGAUCAGUAGCCGCCCUGAGAGGGUGCCCGGCCACAUUGGGACUGAGACACGGCCCAAACUCCUACGGGAGGCAGCAGUGGGGAAUAUUGGACAAUGGGGGAAACCCUGAUCCAGCGACGCCGCGUGACUGAAGAAGUAUUUCGGUAUGUAAAGGUCUAUCAGCAGGGAAGAAAAUGACGGUACCUGACUAAGAAGCCCCGGCUAAUUACGUGCCAGCCGCCGCCGUAA
rnacentral:rRNA from 1 species